rnacentral:rRNA from 1 species
GUUAUGGGGGGGAAGCUGAUGCAGCACGCCGCGUGAACGAUGAGGUCUUCGGAUCGUAAAGUUCUGUUGCAGGGGAAGAUAAUGACGGUACCCUGUGAGGAAGCCCCGGCUAACUACGUGCCAGCAGCCGCGGUAAUACGUAGGGGGCUAGCGUUAUCCGGAUUUACUGGGCGUAAAGGGUGCGUAGGUGGUCUUUCAAGUCGGUGGUUAAAGGCUACGGCUCAACCGUAGUAAGCCGCCGAAACUGGAGGACUUGAGUGCAGGAGAGGAAAGUGGAAUUCCCAGUGUAGCGGUGAAAUGCGUAGAUAUUGGGAGGAACACCAGUAGCGAAGGCGGCUUUCUGGACUGCAACUGACACUGAGGCACGAAAGCGUGGGUAGCAAACAGGAUUAGAUACCCUGGUAGUCCACGCUGUAAACGAUGAGUACUAGGUGUCGGGGGUUACCCCCCUCGGUGCCGCAGCUAACGCAUUAAGUACUCCGCCUGGGGAGUACGCACGCAAGUGUGAAACUCAAAGGAAAUUGACGGA